rnacentral:rRNA from 1 species
AUAGGGGGACCACCCUCUAAGCCUAAAUACUCUUCAGUGACCGAUAGUGAACUAGUACCGUGAGGGAAAGGUGAAAAGAACCCCUAUUAGGGGAGUGAAAUAGAACCUGAAACUGCAUGCCUACAAUCAGUCCGAGCCCUUUUUAGGGUGAGGGCGUACCUUUUGUAUAAUGGGUCAGUGACUUAAUUUAUUAAGCAAGCUUAAGCCAUCUAGGUGUAGGCGCAGCGAAAGCAAGUCUUAAUAGGGCGAUUAGUUUAAUGAAUUAGACCCGAAAACGAAUGAGCUUACCAUGAGCAGGUUGAAAGUUGGGUAACACCAACCGGAGGACCGAACCAGUUGACGUUGAAAAGUCUUUGGAUGACUUGUGGUAAGGGGUGAAAGGCCAACCAAAUUCGUAGAUAGCUGGUUUUCCGCGAAAACUAUUUAGGUAGUGCGUCGAAUAAAUAGAUGUUUAGAGGUAGAGCACUAAAUGGGCUAGGGGGAAGAGAUUCUUACCAAACCUAAUAAAACUCCGAAUGCUAGACAUUGUUCUUCGGCAGACAGACUGUGGGUGCUAAGGUCCAUGGUCGAGAGGGAAAGAGCCCAGACCACCAGAUAAGGUCCCAAAAUCAUGAUUAAGUGUGAAAGGAUGUGGAAAUUCCUUAACAGCCGGGAGGUUGGCUUAGAAGCAGCCAUCCUUUAAAGAUAGCGUAACAGCUCACCGGUCUAAUAGAGUUUCUGCGCCGAAGAUGUAACGGGGCUAAAAUCAUGUACCGAAUCUGUGGCUUUGCAAAGUUUUCGAACUUUGUAAGGGGUAGCGGAACGUUCUGUAAGCCUGCGAAGGGAUACCCGUGAGGGAUCCUGGAGGUAUCAGAAGUGCGAAUGCUGACAUAAGUAACGAUAAACGAAGUGAAAAACUUCGUCGCCGAAAAUCUAAGGGUUUCUAUGCAAGGUUAAUCCGCGUAGAGUUAGUCGGCACCUAAGGCGAGGGCGAAAGCCGUAGUCGAUGGAAACAAGGUUAAUAUUCCUUGACCUGAUGGUAGUGACGGAUUUCGUAAGUUGUGAGUUCUUAAUGGAUUGAACUUGCCGCGAAGAGGUCCCAAGAAAUAGCUCCAUCAUGAAGACCGUACCCGAAACCGACACAGGUAGAUUAAUAGAGUAUAUUUAGGCGCUUGAGAGAAUGAUGUUGAAGGAACUCGGCAAAAUGCUUCCGUAACUUCGGGAUAAGGAAGACCCUUUUGUAGGCAACUAUGGAAGGGUGGCACAAGCCAGGGAGAAGCGACUGUUUAUCAAAAACACAGGGCUCUGCUAACACGUAAGUGGAUGUAUAGGGUCUGACGCCUGCCCGGUGCUGGAAGGUUAAUGCGGUUGGUGCAAGCUAACUUCUGAAGCCCCAGUAAACGGCGGCCGUAACUAUAACGGUCCUAAGGUAGCGAAAUUCCUUGUCGGGUAAGUUCCGACCUGCAUGAAUGGCGUAACGAUUUCUCCGCUGUCUCCAACAUCAACUCAGUGAAAUUGAAUUCUCCGUGAAGAUGCGGAGUUCGCGUAGUUAGACGGAAAGACCCCGUGCACCUUUACUGCAACUUUACAUUGGUGUUAGGAAAAACAUAUUUAGCAUAGGAGGGAGACUUUGAAGCAAAGGCGUCAGCUUUUGUGGAGUCACCAGUGAAAUACCUCUUUUGUUUUUCUUGACAUCUAACCGCUAGCCGUCAUCCGGCAGCGAGACAUUGUAUGGUGGGUAGUUUGACUGGGGCGGUCGCCUCCCAAAUAGUAACGGAGGCGUGCGAAGGUAGGCUCAGAACGGUCAGAAAUCGUUCGUAGAGUGCAAUGGCAUAAGCCUGCCUGACUGUGAGACUGACAAGUCGAGCAGAGACGAAAGUCGGUCAUAGUGAUCCGGUGCUUCUGAGUGGAAGGGGCAUCGCUCAACGGAUAAAAGGUACGCCGGGGAUAACAGGCUGAUACUGCCCAAGAGCUCAUAUCGACGGCAGUGUUUGGCACCUCGAUGUCGGCUCAUCACAUCCUGGGGCUGGAGCAGGUCCCAAGGGUUUGGCUGUUCGCCAAUUAAAGUGGUACGUGAGCUGGGUU